UCCUACGGGAGGCAGCAGUCGAGAAUCAUUCACAAUGGGGGAAACCCUGAUGGUGCGACGCCGCGUGAGGGAAGACGGUCUUCGGAUUGUAAACCUCUGUCUUUGGGGAAGAAAUCAGACGGUACCCAAAGAGGAAGCUCCGGCUAACUACGUGCCAGCAGCCGCGGUAAUACGUAGGGAGCGAGCGUUGUCCGGAAUUACUGGGUGUAAAGGGAGCGUAGGCGGGCUUGUAAGUUGAAUGUCUAAUCCACCGGCUCAACCGGUGAUCGCGUUCAAAACUGCAGGUCUUGAGUGAAGUAGAGGCA
rnacentral:rRNA from 1 species